rnacentral:lncRNA from 1 species
CCGACCCGAUGUCCUAGGGACAAAGGGUUGGUCACGUGCUGGCCGACACCCGAAGGUGACGAAAGCCAUUUAUUAAGUGCAAAUGCUGAAAACAAGGGAUAUAUAAGACUUAUAAAUACAAAAGAAUAAAGAAUAUGCAUUUAAGGAACGUGUUCAGAGCAUACGACUAACUAGAAUACUAACAGAAAUAAUAUAAAAUUGAAUGAAUAAAAGAAUAAGUCCUACACCAAGAAGACUCGAAGAUGCCGAUGCGGAAGUGCUUGAAUGCCGGGAUUGUAUAUCUUGAUUCUAUGUCAGUACUUAGCCGCCAAAUGCUGCGCCACUAGCGAAGACGGAAACGUCACCAUUAAUUGCCCCCAAGCACAUAAAGGGUACAUUUAGUCAAACUCUACUCAAACGAUUUAAUUUGGGAAAACAGACUUCAGAAACGGGUCCAGGAUGUCGAAAUUAGCCUAGGAAGGUAUUGGACGAAAACCCGAAAG